UAUGAAUUGUUAGGUAGUUCACGGAAAGCCCUCUUGUAGUCCAAGGACCAUAUUAUAGCAGGAAAUGCAGCUAGAAUCGCUUGGAAGGAAAAGCUGCAAUCACAAAUAAAAUCAUCAGUUGUAUAAUAUUUUUCAGUCAUUACAGGAAGCAAGUAUCAAAGCUGCUUUCACCAAAAAAUGUGGGGAUAUGGCUUUCAUUGUGCCCCAGUGUGAAAUUAUUCCAGUUAAAGGGGUUUGCAGAAUAGCAACUUGUUGUUUUCUUAAAAGAAAUCCUGGUGUCAUCGACAGAUGUGAGUUUUACUCACCUAACGUGGAGAUGUUUUCAAGGGUGCUGCCAGUAAUGAGAAACAGUGAAUUGCUGUGAAAUUUUGCUGUGCUGGACUUGGUAAAGGCCAAAGUGAAGUAGCUAGCGUGAGUCAUGCUGCACAGGUUAUUUUUAAAAUACUGGAGAAAUCCUGGUUGCCACAGAACUGUGUACAAGUUGACACGAAGAUUGAAUUUGGUGUUGAUGUAACCACCAGAGAAGUUGUUGUUGCUGCUGAUGUUACUGAUAAUGAUACCCAGAGACUCUGGCCAUCGAGAGAUCAAAGCAAACAGAAAGACAAACAGUCUUGUUGUGACCUCAAAGAAGCAACUCUGGAAGGGCUCCAGAUGGUAAAGAAAAACUUUGAGUGGGUUGCAGAGAUUGUAGAAUUGCUUUGGAAAUCAGAAAGUCAGUGCAGGGGUGUAAUAUGCAUAGGCUCAAUGUCUGAUCUAGAACACUGUGAAAAAAUCAAGAGGGCCUGUGGAAAUUUUGGGUUUGGGUAACAUCUGCCCAUAAAGGACUAGAUGAAACUCUGAGGAUUAAAGCUGAGUCUGAAGGGGAUGGCAUUCCUUCUGUAUCUGUGGCAGUGGUAGGCAGAGGCCAUGGCUAGGGACCAGUGAUGCCUGGGAACACUGCAUAACCACGUAGUUAUCAGCUGUCCUCCCCUCACACCAGACAGUGACCUCAGGAUGUGUGAGCUUCCCUUUGACAGGGGUCUCAGGUAGUGGACCAUACUUUCUGCAGAAGACUCAGCUCAGUAUGAUGCCCAGAUAUUUGGAUUAAGCGAUCAUUUGGCAGGAGGCAAACUGUGAACAAGCAUAUUGAACACAUGGAUUUCAUUGAAAA
rnacentral:lncRNA from 1 species